rnacentral:rRNA from 1 species
UGGGGAAUAUUGCACAAUGGGCGCAAGCCUGAUGCAGCCAUGCCGCGUGUAUGAAGAAGGCCUUCGGGUUGUAAAGUACUUUCAGCGAGGAGGAAGGCGGUAAGGUUAAUAACCUUAUCGAUUGACGUUACUCGCAGAAGAAGCACCGGCUAACUCCGUGCCAGCAGCCGCGGUAAUACGGAGGGUGCAAGCGUUAAUCGGAAUUACUGGGCGUAAAGCGCACGCAGGCGGUCUGUCAAGUCGGAUGUGAAAUCCCCGGGCUCAACCUGGGAACUGCAUUCGAAACUGGCAGGCUAGAGUCUUGUAGAGGGGGGUAGAAUUCCAGGUGUAGCGGUGAAAUGCGUAGAGAUCUGGAGGAAUACCGGUGGCGAAGGCGGCCCCCUGGACAAAGACUGACACUGAGGUGCGAAAGCGUGGGGAGCAAACA